GAUGAACGCUAGCGGCAGGCUUAACACAUGCAAGUCGAGGGGUAUAGUUCUUCGGAACUAGAGACCGGCGCACGGGUGCGUAACGCGUAUGCAAUCUACCUUUCACAAAGGGAUAGCCCAGAGAAAUUUGGAUUAAUACCUUAUAGUAAUACGACUUGGCAUCAAGAUGUAUUUAAAGAUUUAUCGGUGAAAGAUGAGCAUGCGUCCAUUAGCUAGUUGGUAAGGUAACGGCUUACCAAGGCUACGAUGGGUAGGGGUCCUGAGAGGGAGAUCCCCCACACUGGUACUGAGACACGGACCAGACUCCUACGGGAGGCAGCAGUGAGGAAUAUUGGACAAUGGGCGCAAGCCUGAUCCAGCCAUGCCGCGUGCAGGAUGACGGUCCUAUGGAUUGUAAACUGCUUUUAUACAGGAAGAAACACUACUUCGUGAAGUAGCUUGACGGUACUGUAAGAAUAAGGAUCGGCUAACUCCGUGCCAGCAGCCGACGG
rnacentral:rRNA from 1 species